CGUGUGUAAAAAUAAAUGGGUUCACGUGAUGUGUGCUUAUGUCGUUUUGUUUUCCGUCGUUUUGCGGACUAUAUUUAUUCGACGUCUAGCUGACCCGGCAGAGUUCGUAGUGCCUCAAUCGAUAAAUCAAAAGACCUAAACUUUUGUAUAAAAUAAACUUAAAACAAACAAAAGGAAUCCAUCCGACGGGGGACACAUAAAAGGAAAAACAAAAUUGUUAUUUUUAUGUAAUUCUAAGCAUUUUCAUAUUUAUCUACCAUUUAAACCUUUUCUGGACUUCUACAAAUAAUUCAAGACCAAAAUUAGCCAAAUCGGUCCAGCCGUUCUCGAGUUUUAGUGAGACUUACGAACAGCAAUUCAUUUUUAUGUAUAUAGAUAUAUAGAUUACAUUUGUGUCGCAUUUGGAGUAAGCGGUCAUCGAAUGUGUCGAAAUCACAAUAAAAUGUCGCUUCCUUUUUUGUGACCUUUGGAAUUACAGUACAGCGGAGUCCCUACAAAAAAUCAGGAUGCUCUAUUGCUUGUCAAGUUUAUGAUAUCUGAUAUCUCAUGCAUGUUAUUACAUCACGUUUAGUUGAUCAAAAACUUAGUUUGGUAGUAGCGGUGCAUUUGUAUCUAGCGAUGCAUCGGGAUUCGAAUCCCGCAGGCAGGUACCAAUUGUUCUAAUGCGUUACAUACUUAACAAAUGUUACGAUGGACUUCCACGGCGAAGGAAUGAUAUCGUGUAGUAAAAAUCAAACCCGCAAAAUUAUAAUUUGCGUAAUUACUGGUGGUAGGACCUCUCGUGAGUCCGCACGGAUAGGUACCAUCACCUUGCCUAUUUCUGCCGUGAAACAGUAAUGCGUUUCGGUUUGAAGGGUGGGGCAGCCGUUGUAACUAUACUGAGACAUUAAAACUUAUAUCUCAAGGUGGGUAUCGCAUUUACGUAGUAUAUGUCUAUGGGCUCCAGUAACCAAUUAACACCAGGUGGACUGUGAGCUGGUCCACCCAUUUAAUCAAUAAAAAAUAUAAAAAUAUUAGCAUUGUAAAUUAGAAAAAACGAAUCUAUAAACUACGUACUACUAAGCACGACUCACCGGACUUGGGUCGAUGAAAAUGCUCUCAAUGCUGCCAUUGUAAAUAUACAUUCCGGUUAUGUUGGUAACGUUGUUGAGAAGAACGUUGGUCUGGCAUUCCUCGUACGUGGAGUAGUAGGCGCAGGCUUUCUGUUUCAGCUUCUGAAUUUUCCUGCGUCGAACACACACUUAUAAAAAAUACAUCGAGAAUUAACAAACCUUGCUUAUUAAUAUAAUACGCUUUUGUUAGCUUCAUACGUAUCUACCUAUACUAAUACAUAAAUCUACAGUGGUUUUUACGGAUGUUCCGUUAUAACUACUGAAUCAUGCAUCCGAUUGACUUAAAACUUGGUAUCCAUGUAGAAAAUGCAUGUAUUUAAUGGAUAGGCUAAAUAUUUAUAUGAGUGUUGGACUCCUUAAUAAUAAUGACAAUCUUCUUCUUCUAUUUAUAUAAAAAUGAAUUGCUGUUCGUUAGUGUCGCUAAAACUCGAGAAUGGCUGGACCGAUUUGGCUAAUUUUGGUCUUGAAUCAUUUGUGGAAGUCCAGAGAAGGUUUAAAAGGUAAAUAAAUAUGAAAAUGCUCGGAAUAAAAUAAAAAUAACAAUUUUGUUUUUCCUUUUAUGUGUCUCCCGUCGGACGGAUUCCUUUUGUUUGUUUUAAGUUUAUUUUAUACAAAAGUUUAGGUAUUUUAUUUAUCGAUUGAGGCACUACGAAGUCUGCCGGGUCAGCUAUAAAUAAUAAUUUUAAAUGCCCAGCAAAGCGGGCGAAUACGGCUAGUGUUCGUAUGUAACGGAAUCUUUGAACAUGAUUUUGAGCUCCUUCAAAACGUCGCAUUAACUCGAAAUUUUGCAUACUUAUCAAGGACCGAUGACUAUUCAAUAUUUUAAGCAGUUAGAUCCGUUAUUUACUUUCGGCAGUCAAAACAACAAAUUCAUUUUAGCGCCUUCUAUUUUUCACUUAGCAAAUUGGAAACUGUCAUGUUUGCCUGAAUGUACAUUAAUGAAUAAUUUAUGGUACACAAUGAUAAUAAACUAAAAAAUGAAAAAUAAAUAAUAGUUUUAAAAAAACAUUUAAAAACACGCGUUUAUGGAAAAUUCAACUAAAAUAUAGAAAAUAAAUUUAUUGUAAAAAAAGCGUGCGGUACUUUUAAGAUAUUAUCAAAAUUAUAAGACUUUUACUCAUAUCGGUCAAUAAAAUAUUAAAACUAUUGACACCGCGCACCGACAUCCAUUUUAGAUGGAUAUUCUAUAACAGCGUGUGUUUUAGUUUUUCUUAAACUUUUUUUAAAAAUAUAAAGUCGGUUGAGUUUAUCAAGUGUUGUUUUGAAACGGGAAGACUGCUUUGAUUAGUGCGUGUAAGACAGUAAACAUUUUGUUUAAUUAACUCUUCUGAGUAUCGCCUAUCUUCGAAUUUAAGUCAUGCCAAAGAUUUCGGUGAAAAUUCAUGGUUUUUCAACGUUGAAGUUGAACAGUCAUUUUAUUGCUUAUCUCGCGCGCGGACUUUAGUUCACACCGGCUGUAUCACACAACAUAGGUUGUAUUGCUCUUUGAACCGAAGUGCAUGACUGGUCUGCCUACACGGGCAAUAAAAAAUGAAAAAAAAAAAAUGCUCUCAACUAAAUUUGAAUAGUGGAGGGGGAUUGGUCUGACGUCAUCGGCUCAUCAAGUACUAAAUUUAAUACACUCUAAGAGUUUGUUUAACGCCGCUCCUAUUUAGUUUAUUUAUUAACGACCUUCACCGGUCGCCACCGGCCCAGUUCGCCUUAUUCGCUUACGACACAACCGCUUACUACUCGAGUAAGAACAAGUCCUUAAUGACGAGUAAGCUCCAGAGCGCAGCUGUAACCCUCGGACAGUGGUUUCAAAAAUGGCGCAUAGACAUUAACGCAGCGAAAAGCACAGCAGUGUUAUUUCAAACGGGAAACUCUACGUGGAAUUCCUCCCGAAUUAGGAGGAGAAAUAUCACACCCCCGAUCACCCUCUUCGGCCAACCUAUUCCCUGGGCCAGUAAGGUCACCCUGGAUGCAUCCAUGACAUUCCGGCCGCAUAUAAAAACAGUCCGCGACCGUGCCGCGUUUAUUCUCGGCAGACUCUAUCCCAUGAUCUGUAACCGGAGUAAAAUGUCCCUACGGAACAAGGUGACACUUUGCAAAACUUACAUAAUGCCGAACAUGACUUACGCGAGUGUGGUGUUCGCUCACGCGGAUCGCACACACUUAGACACCCUCCAAUCCCUACAAUCUCGUUUUUGGAAGCUAGUCGUCGGUGCUCCGUGGUUCUUGAGGAAGGUUGACCUACACAACGACCUGGGCCUCAAAUCGAGAAAGGUUUUCGUGGUUUUUGAACCAAAUUCUUUACUUUCUCGCUUAGAUACGAGCUCAGAUUGCCUUGUGUUAAGACAUCACAGCGUGAAUGAACCUUGAGACAUGAGGUUGGUGUCUCAAAUAUACAUAUUACGUAACGACUGCCCACACCAUUCAAGCUAGCACGCAUCAUUACUUCUCGGAAGAUGUUUCAUGAUAAUAUUAUCCUCACUAAAGUAACCUCUGGAACCGUUUGGAACCUCUGGGUCUGCGGAGGGACUUCGGUUCCCUCUGUAUUUUGUACCGUAUGUUCCAUGGGGAGUGCUCUGAGGAAUUAUUCGAGAUGAUACCGGUAUCUCGUUUUUACCAUCGCACCGCCCGCCACCGGAGUAGAGUUCAUCCGUACUACCUGGAACCACUGCGGUCAUCCACAGUGCGUUUCCAGAGAUCUUUUUUGCCACGUACCAUCCGGCUAUGGAAUGAGCUCCCCUCCACGGUGUUUCCCGAGCGCUAUGACAUGUCCUUCUUCAAACGAGGCUUGUGGAGAGUAUUAAGCGGUAGGCAGCGGCUUGGCUCUGUCCCUGGCAUUGCUGAAGUCCACGGGCGACGAUAACCACUCACCAUCAGGUAGGCCGUAUGCUCGUCUGCCUACAAGGGCAAUAAAAAAAAAAGUAAAAUCCUAAAAAAAUGCAAAUUUUAGCACAGUAUAACAUAAAGGUAUUUUCGGUAAGAGCGAUCUUUUUCAUUCAACUGUCAUAAAGAAAAAGGUUUUUUUAUAAGUAAAGGAAUUCAUUGCGAUAUGUUUAUGAGUAGAUUAAACAUUUGUAUUAUCUUGUUAUGGAGAAAUUUGAGAAUGAAAACAGAUUUUACUGGUGGUGGUAGGACCUCUUGUGAGUCCGCGCGGGUGGGUACCACCACCCUGCCUAUUUCUGCCGCGAAGCAGUAAUGCGUUUCGGUUUGAAGGGCGGGCAGCCGUUGUAACUAUACUUGCGACCUUAGAGCUUAUAUCUCAAGGUGGGUGGCGCAUUUACGUUGUGGUUGUCUAUGGACUCCAGUGACCACUUAACACCAGGUGGGCUGUGAGCUCGUCCACCCAUCUAAGCAAUUAAAAAAGAGAUUUGUACUUCGAUUGAAUUUUUAACGGUAAAUAUUGUUUAGGAGAAGUGUAACCAACAACAAAAACAAAAAGCAAUAAUAGAACUUUUUUAUCCUUUCCCAAAGCUUAUUAGCUUUCCAAAGAAGCUGAUUGAAUUUUUUCCUCUUUCCGAACGAUUUUCCCAAUUAUAUAGUUAAGUUUAGUUCGCCUUUACCGAACGACGGUCCUCAUCAAUCAUUCAGAUAUUAUUUAUUUUGUAAAACAAUCGUGUUUGCGUUAAUAAAUUUCAUGGUUCCAUUGUUAAUGUUUAUUCCGAGGAAAUGAUCAAUCAGGCGUGUUAUUAAGUUCAUUGACUUUCUCGAUAACAGAUAUUAUUUAUUUAUGGAAUUCAUGUGAAGCGAACUUAAAUUUUCUGCCAAUGAAGAUUUCCAAUUAUUUUGUAUUAAUUAUCGUAUCGACGCUUGAAAGGCAAACAUGACUAAGCGACAAUAACUCCUUUGUAUAUAAAUGAUAGGCAAUAACCAUAUUCGAUGCGCAAAAAAAAUAUAUUUCUAGAUCUAUUAAAAUCAUUUCAAUCCUACGGCUACUAGUUAGAUUCUACUACAGCUGGAUUCGUUAAAAUAAAUUUUGUUUUCAGGUAUUUCAACUUUAAAUUAGUCUACUAUAAAGUUCACGCAUUGUCGCUUAGUCACGUUUGCCUUUCAAACGUCGGUAUGUAUAUUUACGGAGAUAUGUAUGUGUAUAUGUAUGUGUACAUAUAUGUGUAUGUAUUUCACUGGAAUGGUACACCGCGCGUAGUUCGUUUCCAAAUGAUUCUUGUCCACCUGAUGGUUGUCUGGAAGAGAUCGCUCUUAGCGAUAAGACCGCCAAUUGUCCUUUUUUUGUUUUUAAUGUAUCGCACUGUUUAUUUGUUUUUUGGUGUACAAAUACUCUCUCUCUCUCUCUCUCUCUCUCUCUCUCUCUCUCUCUGAAGGCAAAUUUUUGGCGUAUACGAGCCCAUUACACGGCUGCUGUUAAUGUUACCCACAUACGACGUAGGGCGAAUGUGAAACUGUAAAACCCGUUUUAUACUUAAUGAUAUCGAGAAUCCGCACGGUUCUUUGAGAAUCUUUUUUAUUUUAUUAUUUAGACGAGUCAAGGAGUUUACAGUCCGCCCGGUGUUACGUGGAGCCCAGGGGCAUCAACAACGGAACUGAUGCUGCCCAUCUAAAAUUAGUCUUAGUUUUAACACUAAAACGUCUGCUCCACCUUCAUUCAAACCAGAAUGUAUUGAUUUCGGGGCUGAAAUGGGUGGGAUGGUACCUACUCCAUGGUUCACAAGACGCUGUACCACCAGUUAGGAAAUUCUGUAUACUUCCACCGCACCUCAAUUAAGCAUUCCGAAUAGUUUAUUAAUUAACCCUCUAUUGAACUGAUGGCCAUGACCACUCUGCCAACAGUGCAAACUACUAAGAAGAAAUACACAAGAAAUAACGUUAAACAAAAGGGCACGGGUUGUUACAAAAUUAAAUGGCAUUCUUAUUGUUUUCAGCCAUCGGUUCUAGAUAACCGGUGAAAGCUGGUGAUAUUACUGGUGAAAUUGGUGGGAUGUUGCCGACGCCGUGAAAGUCUGCUUUUUUCCUUAACUAAUAGCUGGUAAUCUAAGGGACUAUUCCACCUACUCAUUUACGGGUAGGUAAGCUCACAAGCUCAACUUGAGAGAGUUUGCUAAAACUGGCCUAGCAAGAGCAGUGCUUCACUGAAUCUCCCACCGGAUCUGAAUCGCGACCUACUAAGAAGAAUCGGUGAGAAGCUCUCAUGGUGUGUAUGGGUUAGCUUACACGUUGAAUUCCUUGACGAGCUCCACGAGAACGGUGACCGGUGCUUCGAAAGCUUAAAAGCACCGAGAGUGGAUACUGGCGAUCGGUCAUGACAUGCUUCGGGCGACGGCGGCUUUGUGUUGCAGCUUCACCUUGGUCAGAUAUGUAGAUAGAGGCGGCCACUAUAAGAAAAUUACCGUGGCGUGCGGCUUUUCUCAAAGAAUAUAUCGGUUCUAACGGCUAUUUCAUAGUUAAAACUGGAACGAAUGAAUGGUACGCGACAGCAAUAAACAAUGAUGACACUUAUCCGUGCCACUAAAGAAAACGCCUUACCGAGUUUUCUAAAUAGAUAGAACAAGAUGUUACAACGGAUCGCCGGCGAGCAAUUCCAAGCAAAAAGCUACUGAAUACUGGAUUUUACGAGCCGUGUCGCAACAUGGACCGACGUAGUAUCGCCUGGAGUUCGAUUUUAUGAUUUUUUCAUACGCCCGCACUUCUGCUUUCGCUUUGACCUUGUUUGGGUCGUUUUAUUUAGUUAAGCUUACAUCGCGAAGAGGUCUUAAAUGAUUUUUAGGUAGUUUUUCAAUCACGCUUCAUACUAGUGAUAUAAAUUUAAUUUAAACUAGCCGACCCGGCAGGCUUCGUAGUGUCUCAAUCGAUAAAUAAAAGACCUAAACUUUUUUAUAAAAUAAACUUAAAACAAACAAAAGGAAUCCGUCCGACGGGGAACACAUCAAAGGGAAAACAACAUUGUUAUUUUUAUUUAAUUCCGAGCAUUUAUCUACCUUUUGAACCUUCUCUGGACUUCUACAAAUAAUUCAAGACCAAAAUUAGCCAAAUCGGUCCAGCCAUUCUUGAGUUUUAACGAGACUAACGAACAGCAAUUCGUUUUUAUAUAUAAAGAAGAAGAAUAUUAAUAACAAAAGAUAUUAAAACAGUUAUUUGAUCAGUGUUUUAAUUAUUAUUUUUAUUGCUAAUAUGGGUAAAAGUGCUCACGGCCCAUCUGGUGUUAAGUAGUCCCCAACUACGUUAAUGCCAUCAACUUUUUUUUUUGGGGCGGAACCUUCUAUGAGUUCCCUGUGCCUAGGGGGCGCGCGUGGUAUGUGGGACUGGACCAUCCCCAGAAGUUGGGAGCGCACCGCGGUCCCAAGGGAUGUCCUAAUGAAUUGUGACCCUAACUCCCUAACUCCCUUACACUCUUUCACCCGACGUCCGAUAUCCGCCCGGAGUAUAAUACCACUCUUCAACUUGAGACAUGAGUUCUAAGUCUUAGUUUUCAGCACAACGGCUGCCCCACCCUUCAAAGCGAAACGCGAUAGAAAUAAGCAGGCUGCUGUUACCUACUCGUGCGGCCUCAAAAGACGUCUCACUUCCAACUAAAAUAUUUAAUGAUUUACAAUUAGGAAUCACUUAAUAAAAUAAAGCGGUUUUUUGUUCAAGCAAAAUCAUCAUGUUGUUUUUUGUUUAAUUUAAUUUUAUGGUUUAUAUUUGGACUCCAAAUGAAUUGGCUUUUGUCUCGCGGUGAAACCGGUUAAAUUGGUGAAACUUACUCGUUUAGACUCACAACACCGCAAGAACAAAGUUUAUUAUCUUGAAAGGUAGUUUCAAUUUGUCUUAUUGUUUAGUAUCAAAACAAAUUGGAAGCUUACAUUUUUAUUCCAUGAACUUAUUACAAUCAAUGUGAGUUGAUUAUAUCGAAUGUUUCUUUAUUAUUAUUUUUUACAUUAUAUUAUAUCGAUAAUAUUUUUUCAUCGAAUUAUUUGAAAUUAGAUCGAUAAUUUGUAUUCAAUUUAAGAAUAAUUUAAUUAAACAAUAGGCUUACUUAUAAUUUUUGAAUUUGACAAUAUCUAAUAAAGGUUCUGAAAAGAGCCACGGUCUUUAGAAGAACCAACGAUUAAAACUCUGCGAGCUAUUUCUAAUUAAUUUUGUUUCUAUUGUUUACUAGCUUCCCGCUCACAGCUUCACCUGCGUGGACAACACACCCCAUACAAUUGGACCCCUGAUCAGCAAUGGGUUUAACGGCAUCCUAAUCCUUCGCAGGGUCUUCCUUUUAUAUGUAUAGUUUAUUUUAUAAUUAACUUGCGACCCGCCCUCGCUUCGCUUCGGAAACAUUAAAUUUUAUUAUUGAUAGCUGAGUCCCGCGAUGUUAACCGCGGUUAUUGUCGUACCGCGGGUGACGCCGUGGGGCAAACCUACUCUAAAAAAAGUAGCAUAUGUUACCCCUUAUAUCAUCAACUACCUAUCAGUGAAAGUGUCGUCAAAAUCCAUCUAGCCAUUCCAGAGAAUAGCCGGAACAAACUGACAAAAAUUAUAAAAAAUGUUAUUUUGGUUUAUGUAUCCUAUAUAAUUAUAUUCAUACGCAUGUAGUAAAAAGCGGUUAUUUCAAUAUUACAAACAGACACUCCAAUUUUACUUAUAUGCAUAGAUGUUAAGGUAUUAAAAGUGUAGUUAUUUUCUUACCAUUGGGUAAUGAAAUUUGUGCCGAUGCUGAAUAUUGGUGUUGAUCGAUUGAAAUCGAAGCUGGUCUCGGUGGAAUUCAUCUUGGAACUCUCGACUCACUGACGAGAUGAGAAGCGCUGGGAGUUUUACUGCAACUAAAAUGCACAAUCCCGUUAAGUAUUCCGUUAGUACAAUCGUGCGAUCAAAGCAAUAAGCCUUUUAUUGCGAUGAGUUUAAAGUCGUGAAUUCCUGAUCCGUUUUGCAGUUUUAUAUUUCAGAAUUCAGUAGGUUAAAUCCGAUUUAUUUUCACUUAAGUUCGCCAUUAAUAGUGUGUGUUUACAAUUGCUACAAUAAAGAAAUAUGUAUGUGUCGUUAAUUCUAGUUUUUGAUUUGUAUUUCAUUUAUUGACAAUUCUAAUGACAAUGUUAAUAAAUGGUUAAGCGAUUCCCAACA